GACGAACGCUGGCGGCGUGCUUAACACAUGCAAGUCGAACGGAAAGGCCCUGCUUUUGUGGGGUGCUCGAGUGGCGAACGGGUGAGUAACACGUGAGUAACCUGCCCUUGACUUUGGGAUAACUUCAGGAAACUGGGGCUAAUACCGGAUAGGAGCUCCUGCUGCAUGGUGGGGGUUGGAAAGUUUCGGCGGUUGGGGAUGGACUCGCGGCUUAUCAGCUUGUUGGUGGGGUAGUGGCUUACCCAGGCUUUGACGGGUAGCCGGCCUGGGAGGGUGACCGGCCACAUUGGGCCUGAGAUACGGCCCAGACUCCUACGGGAGGCAGCAGUGGGGAAUAUUGCACAAUGGGCGGAAGCCUGAUGCAGCAACGCCGCGUGCGGGAUGACGGCCUUCGGGUUGUAAACCGCUUUCGCCUGUGACGAAGCGUGAGUGACGGUAAUGGGUAAAGAAGCACCGGCUAACUACGUG
rnacentral:rRNA from 1 species